rnacentral:rRNA from 1 species
UACAGAGGUCUCAAGCGUUGUUCGGAUUCAUUGGGCGUAAAGGGUGCGUAGGCGGCGCGGUAAGUCGGGUGUGAAAUCUCGGAGCUUAACUCCGAAACUGCAUUCGAUACUGCCGUGCUUGAGGACUGGAGAGGAGACUGGAAUUUACGGUGUAGCGGUGAAAUGCGUAGAUAUCGGGAGGAACACCAGUGGCGAAGGCGGCUUUCUGGCCUGUUCUUGACGCUGAGGCGCGAAAGCUAGGGGAGCGAACGGG